rnacentral:rRNA from 1 species
AUACGUAGGUGGCAAGCGUUGUCCGGAAUUAUUGGGCGUAAAGCGCGCGCAGGCGGUCUUUUAAGUCUGAUGUGAAAUCUUGCGGCUCAACCGCAAGCGGUCAUUGGAAACUGGGAGACUUGAGUGCAGAAGAGGAGAGUGGAAUUCCACGUGUAGCGGUGAAAUGCGUAGAGAUGUGGAGGAACACCAGUGGCGAAGGCGACUCUCUGGUCUGUAACUGACGCUGAGGCGCGAAAGCGUGGGGAGCAAACAGGAUUAGAUACCCUGGUAGUCCACGCCGUAAACGAUGAGUGCUAAGUGUUAGAGGGUUUCCGCCCUUUAGUGCUGCAGCUAACGCAUUAAGCACUCCGCCUGGGGAGUACGGCCGCAAGGCUGAA